rnacentral:rRNA from 1 species
AUUGAACGCUGGCGGCAGGCUUAACACAUGCAAGUCGAGCGAGCGGCGGACGGGUGAGUAAUGUCUGGGAAACUGCCUGAUGGAGGGGGAUAACUACUGGAAACGGUAGCUAAUACCGCAUACCAUCAGAUGUUCCCCGAUGGGAUUAACUAGUCGGUGGGGUAACGGCUCACCUAGGCGACUAUCCCUAGCUGGUCUGAGAGGAUGACCAGCCACACUGGAACUGAGACACGGUCCAGACUCCUACGGGAGGCAGCAGUGGGGAAUAUUGCACAAUGGGCGCAAGCCUGAUGCAGCCAUGCCGCGUGUAUGAAGAAGGCCUUCGGGUUGUAAAGCACUUUCAGCGAGGAGGCGUUACUCGCAGAAGAAGCACCGGCUAACUCCGUGCCAGCAGCCGCGGUAAUAC